GGAUGCGAUCAUACCAGCACUAAAACACCGGAUCCCAUCAGAACUCCAAAGUUAAGCGUGCUUGGGCGAGAGUAGUACUAGGAUGGGUGACCUCUUGGGAAGUCCUCGUGUUGCAUUCC
rnacentral:rRNA from 1 species